rnacentral:lncRNA from 1 species
GCAGUGUGCCUCCGCGCGCCCGAGGGGUAGCAGAACCCCGGAGGAAGGGGCGGAUCGGGCGCGGUGUUUGGGACGGAGCGGGGCGCGCGGCGCUCGAAGCACUUACUCGGCGCGUUCCGGGACUGGUGGAGACUGCAUGGGUACCUCUCAGACUGCACCCUUCGAGCUGUAGGUUCGCAGGCCCAAGGCAGCCGGACUCGACGGCUCCCCAUUAUAUCAUCUCUCCUUUUGAUCACUGUUCCUGAUUGUGGCUUUAUCCAAGCAUUAAAUUGUGUGCCUUUUGUUCCUUGAAGAAAGAGCUGGUGCUAGCAACUCUCAAUUCCGUCUCGUCUCUGGACCCAGCUCAAAGCUCUGGAUUUGUUCUCUUCCCAUACCUGAGCUGGAGCCUUCUGUCACCCGAAAGUGCUUCAUGCAGUCUUCCUCUCAAGCCCUCACUUCUCUCCCAAGGUGAGUUAAUGUGGGGAAAAUCCUGGUAUUCUGAAGAUGUUGCGGCACAGUAUUGUUUCCUGUUCAAAUUACAAGUAACUUCAAGAAUUUUCAGGAAGAAAAGAAUUGAGAUUG